CAGCAGCCGCGGUAAUACAGAGGGUGCGAGCGUUAAUCGGAUUUACUGGGCGUAAAGCGUGCGUAGGCGGCUUCUUAAGUCGGAUGUGAAAUCCCUGAGCUUAACUUAGGAAUUGCAUUCGAUACUGGGAAGCUAGAGUAUGGGAGAGGAUGGUAGAAUUCCAGGUGUAGCGGUGAAAUGCGUAGAGAUCUGGAGGAAUACCGAUGGCGAAGGCAGCCAUCUGGCCUAAUACUGACGCUGAGGUACGAAAGCAUGGGGAGCAAACAGGAUUAGAUACCCCUGUAGUCCCUGUCUCUUAUCA
rnacentral:rRNA from 1 species